rnacentral:misc_RNA from 1 species
AAAGUGUCCCAUAAUCAGUCAUUCAUAUCUUGAAAUUAAGCGGAUUAAGCCAAAAGAUCAUGGAAGCCUCAUCCCUGCUAGCUCCUAUUGCCAAGAGGUGAGCAAAUCAUGCAAGUCUCCUCUAUUCAGAUGCAUGACCUUGUUGAUUCUUGAUACUUUACAGUGCUGAAGACGAUUAACAUUGAGCUAAAACGCUUUGUUAUUUGUAAUGAAAGUGAAAAGUUUCUGUUUAUGCAGGUUACAAGGCAAGGUGGCGUUGAUAACGGGAGGAGCCAGUGGCAUUGGGGAGAGCACUGCAAGACUCUUUGCGAGGCAUGGAGCUAAGGUUGUGAUUGCAGAUGUCCAAUCGGAGUUGGGUCCUUCUGUAGCUGAGAAAAUCUGUUCGGAAUCUGGAGAAUCAGUUUCCUACGUCCAUUGCAAUGUUACCAAUGAGUCAGAUGUGGAAAACGCAGUGAAUACAGCCGUUUCGAGUCAUGGAAAGCUUGACAUUAUGUUCAACAAUGCAGGCACCACCGGCAAGCCUUAUUACACAAUAUUAUCAACUGAACAUGAAGAUUUCAGGCGGGUUUUCGAUGUUAAUGUGUAUGGUGGAUUCUUGGGAGCCAAACAUGCCUCCAGAGUAAUGAUCCCUGAAAAGAAAGGCUGUAUUCUGUUCACUGCAAGUGUUACUUCAGCGAUGUAUGGCGGGGCAUAUGCUUAUACAGCAUCAAAGCAUGCAGUUGUUGGGCUAACCAAGAACUUGGCUGUAGAAUUGGGGCAGUAUGGAUUAAGAGUUAAUUGCAUUUCCCCUGGCGCAUUACCUGCUGGUUUAACUACUUCAGCAGCUAUGGAUCCAACUCAAGUGCAGAAGUGGCAUGCUGCUAUGUCAAAUCUGAAAGGGCCCAUCUUAAAUGCAAAUGAUGUGGCAGAGGCUGCUUUAUACCUUGCAAGCGAUGAUUCCAAAUAUGUUACUGGCUUUAACCUUUUGGUCUAGCAGCUUGGCAAAGUUACUUACCUUCCAUAUAGAUUUAGAUUAAGUCACGUACACAUGAGAACUCUUGCAGAAUAAUCCUUCAAAUGAAUGUUGUUUUUAUUUAAAUUUUCUUUUGAUGCUUCGUAUAUGAGGAUUUUCAUUGAAAAAUCCUAAAUAUUGUUAAAGAUUUCUCAAAUUAAAUUGAAUAACACCUGACUUAAUUCGAG